UACGGAGGGUGCGAGCGUUGUCCGGAAUCACUGGGCGUAAAGGGCGCGUAGGCGGCGCGGGGAGUCAACGGUGAAAGCUCGGCGCUCAACGCCGAGUCGGCCGUCGAUACUCCCGUGCUCGAGCACUGUAGAGGCAGGUGGAAUUCCGGGUGUAGCGGUGGAAUGCGUAGAGAUCCGGAAGAACACCGGUGGCGAAGGCGGCCUGCUGGGCAGUAGCUGACACUGAGGCGCGACAGCGUGGGGAGCAAACAGG
rnacentral:rRNA from 1 species